CUCCUCUCAGGGUCACACUUGGAGAGUUGCAGGUACUCUACCAGUCUCAACUACAGGAGGAAGAGUCAAGCAGAGGCCUACCCAUUCCAUUCCUAGAUUGGCCAGUGGCUAGUGAGUGGAAGGCAAUCUGCUAAAAGU
rnacentral:snoRNA from 1 species